rnacentral:lncRNA from 1 species
UUGUCUCUUUUCCAGAGUCUAGCUGUAUAGUCCAUACUGGCCUCAAGUUCAAAAAUCAUCCUCCUGCCUUAGCUUUAAGAUUAUUGGGAUUACCACCUCAUAGGUGAGCCGCCAUAACUGGCCUUUUUUUUUUUUAAUUUUAAUUUUUUAUUUUUCCUUUUUUUCUUUAAUUAGAAACUUAUUUUUUUUUCCAGUUUUGACUGGAUGUGAACACAGUGCUUUUUGUUUACUCUUUUGUUUCCUCUUAUCCUUCCCUCUUUUGUCACCUUCUUCCCUUUCACACCUAUAUGCCUUUUUGUUUUGCUAUCCUCUGAUUUUAACCAGAGCUGUCUGUCUGUGUGACCAUGUUGUUGGAACUAUGUUUCAGAGCCCAAGAAGCUCAUCAAUUCAUAUGCAACUGAAAGCAAUAAGGGCCCCUCCCCCAGAGCGCAUAGAUUGCAGUAGUUAAGCAGGGAGGGGGAGGGCACCCUGAAUGGCUCCCCAUCCUUGAUUGGCUAUUGACAAGCCCAGUCUUGGGCAGGCCCAGUGAUACAUGCCUGGCCUUUUCCGUCUGUUUGACCUUUUAAAAUUGGUAUUUUUGACAUGGUUCUAAGAGUAGUGCUGUUCACAUAUUUGCAUGGUUAUUAUCACUGCAGCAAAUCUUCUUAAAAGCCCUGGACGUAUUGGCUCAGAUAUCAUGGAGGCUCCCCCGGCAUUCAGGGGCAGGCAGGGGAGGGCAUAGAAAUAGUAUUAAAUUUCUCUUUCCAUGAUAGUUAGAGCUCUGUGCUAGAAGAGAGGCAAGCAUCUGCUCUCAGUUUUACAGAUGAGGAGCCUUAGUCCCCAGGAGAGAGUGGUUUGCCCUUUCCCGGGGGAUGAGCCGGUGGAGGCAGCACAGAAAUCCAGGGCUUUGCGAUUCAGCCCAGUGCCUUUCUGGAAUGCCACACAGCUUCCCUGGUUAUCUGGAGAUCUGCGGGGGCCACGGGACUUCAGAAUACCCGCACAGAUGUGGAUGGUUUCUCCAGCUGAAUUAACUCAUCAUGUCAGCCCGAGUCCCAAGCCUGCUUCCAUAGCACGUGGUAAAUCAUCACCCCUUGUGGUCUGAGAACUGGGUGCCUAGGGGGAUAUCAUUACCACCCAGGGUUAGCUUGGCUGUUCUAGCUCUAUGUUCAGUUUUCUCCUCCCUCCAGCUUCUUUGAACUCGUCUCCUUUGUGAGCCGGGAACUGAAGGGCUGGAGCCCAGUGAUACACAUGGGAAAGCUCCAGGUUGGGCCUCAUUUGAGCACUCGGAGGGAGGGGUUGAUUUUUGACUUAAGUGAAUUCUGUUCCCUUUUAAGAACACAGCUCUUCACUGGUCUGCAAAGUGGGUUUCAGGCCAGCCAGGGCUAUGCUUUCAGUAAAUUUGGUCAGUAUUACAACUUAAAUGGACUAGCCCUGUGUAAUCUCUGUGCCUUAGGAAAUCAGGAGUUUUCAGUGUUUGGCAUAGGAUUCUUUUUCAGGGCCUUAAUCUAGGACAGAAUGUGUCAAGGUAGGUAAUGGGAUCUAGGUAUCUAACGUGAGGUUCUGGAAACUGUGUCUCUUAGUGAAGCAUGCAAGAUGCCCUUAUGUCCAGCCUUCUUUGGUGUUCUGAUGGUUCAUAGAGAAACUGUGUUCCAUUUCCUGGAAGCAUGUCUCAACCAUCUGUAGGACUGGCGUUGCUUGUUGGUACUUGAGCCUGCUUUCCUAAAGGGUUCUGUGUGGCUGACUUUGAGUUGGGGCUGCCUGAAGCCUUUUAACUUCAGGAAUCGGGUUGUUUUUCCAUGUCUUCUUUCUCCCCACAGCCUCAGAGGUUCCUUAUUGCCUGCUGCGUAGGCCUCAGUGCAAUUUGGCUUUAUUAAGCCUGUGAGAGAUAGGGGCAAGUGGAAUUGUAAGCUCUCUGCCACAGUUCCCCUGUGGACUGGCAUUGCUGAAGAGCAUGGAAGCAGAGGGCUAACCCUCAAGCAGUUUCAACUGGCUCCCUCUCUGUACAGUACCCCGUACCCCUAGCUUCUCUCUCUUCUUUCUGACCCAGGCACUUAGUUCUUCUUUUCUUGUUUUCUCAAAUACAGUUUACUAUCAAUUACUUCAAGCAUAUAAGAAAAUUGAAAGAAAAAUUAUUUUUGUACGUUAGCCUGGAAACCUAAUUCCUGUUUAAGAAACAGUUUCUAUGAGAUUAAAUGAGGAACAUUCCUUAGGAAUGUGAACCAUCUGUAGGUUUAGGUGCGUAAAUGCAUGCUUUGUUUCGGAGUCUUUUGAAGUUUAUCUACACUUCAUUUUAGCAUCUGGAGUGGUGACAUGCCAUUUUGAAGAUACCAGAAGGCACAAAGCAUAUUCUUUUCUGGCAUCAGAUCUUAGUUGCUACCUCUGUUGCUUCUAAGAUCCAUACUGUCCCACACGCCCGAUCUUGCCUUAUUUUGGUGAGUGUUUUUCUAGGGAUCUGAGGCCGUCCUAGUCUUUUGCUAAUACUGGUUUCAGAAUCCAGCAUAUGGCUGCGGAACUUGCUUUUAAAGAACUCUUCAGUUUUCUCAUUUUAGAAUGCAUUUUGGCUGACUUCACUAAACACUGCAAUCCCAUGAAGAGUUCUAUGGUUGAAGAUCUGGUAUUGAUUAUCAUUAAUUCUUCCCUUUAUGACUUUGCCACUUAAAUACACAUUUAGAAACAAACCAAAUAAACAUUAAAUGGAAUAACUGGGUUUUAAACUUGGGUGGUCCAGUUAGUCUCAACAUGGGCUCAGCUUUGAAAGGUCAUUAUAAAAACACUCCAUCUAACUACCCCAUUAAAUGAUCGCAAUACUUACCAUUUAAAUAUGUAUGAAUGCAGAUAUUUAAAGAAAGAACCAUGGGCUAUUUAUAAUGCUUUACUGUAUAAAUGAGCAGAAAACGUAAGGUGUAUUUGCUUAGUCUGUGUAUGAGUUUGGCUAGUAGACCUGAUUGAUGUUCAAUGGUGUGGCUUUGAACAAGUCAUUCAACGGCGUCUGGGUAUCUUCUGGGAAAAGGAAGACCUUGUACUUGGUUUGCCACAUUAUCUUCAUUUCUGUAAAGCUAGAAUGCUGAGCUUCCAUGAGUUUAAAGGUGAUGAAUCCAGAAAGUCUACCGUUUGUCUAGCAGCGACAAUGGGGAGAGAACCAAUUCUAGAAUGGUUAAUUCAGGUUCCGAAAUAGCAGGAUCCUUAACCAUACUUAAAGGGUCAGUCGUGGGACCAGAAUCUUCUCCUAGUACGUAAAGUGCUUGCCAUGCAGGCAUGAAAAUCUGUGUUCACUUUCCUGCACAUACUCAGGAGAGAGCCAGGCAUGGUUGCCACAUCUGUUUUCCUAGACCUGGGGAGACAGGAGGAUGAUGGAGGCUUGCUGAGCAGUCAGGCUAGCCUACCCAGAAAGCUCCAGUUCCUGUGGGGGAGACCCUCUCUCAAAAACAAAGUAGACCAUUCCAGAAGAGUAACACCCGACUUCUAGCUUACUGUCUGUCUGUCUGUCUGUCUGUCUGUCUGUCUGCUGUCUACACACACACACACACGCACACGCACACGUACACAUGUGCGCGUACACGUACACGCGCAUGCACAUUUGCUGCUCUGUUUAUCAAAUUGCUUCUAUGCUUGCAAAAACAGAUGGGCCAUCUGGAAAAAAAGUUUUUGUUUUUUGUUUUUUUAAUAUGGGCAGAGAUGAUGUCUCGGCACCUUACCUAUAUUGUCAUGCAGGAUGCCACGCAGUUGCACUACUGCCAGCUCUGAACCAGCCCUAUUACAAUCAUGUUGGAUUUCCCCCAGUGCUAUUUUGGUGGGUUCUAGAUGGUGCGUUAGAAGUCAGAGCUCCUAAAUAAAUCUUUUAGUUAGUAUGGCAUUGCUUCAUGACUGAGCGAGGUCUUAACCUGAUUGGUUUUGCUUCUGUUUCUGUGAUAAUCUUUGUUCCCUUUCUGAUAGAUCUUUUCUUGAUCUCAGUUUCCACAUAGUAUUGUAAGAGUUUCUUACUAGAAUUUCUCAUCCAAAAUUACUUCCAUUGAAGACUCUGGCUCUUAACUGGUUUUCUUGAGUGAACAUUAGGGAUUAUAUGGCAGUCCCUUAAGACCAUGUUAGAGAGGGUAGUUAUAUUGAAAACUAAUAUAUUAAAUAUUAAAAGAAGUUGGUACUCUGUGUGUUUUCUGAAUCAGACCAUCCAGUUGUUCACCUGUAUCUGAGCCUGGGGCUAGUCAUCUGAUUUGUCAGAGAUAGCCCUUGGGCACAUGCUAAUGUCUCCUUGACCAAGACAUGACCCCUUUUGGUUCCUUUGAUCAGUUGUAAUGUAGACAUUUUGUAAGGAGCCAAAGUGCUCCUGAGAGUUUUAGCUCUCAGCAUCUUCCUUCCUUUUCUCUCUCAAACAAGAAAGGAAAGAAGUUUGUCAAUCUCUUGCAAGCAGCUCUUCUUUAAGGAAGACCAUAGUGGUAAGGAAUUGUUUUGUUUGUUUGUUUGAUUUCUUUCUUCCAUCAUCAUGAGCUGUUGAGAGAGCAGAUUUCUAACUUCUUACACAGUACAUAACCUAUAGUGAGAGGUUUCUUUUUUCUUUUUUCUUUUUUCCCUAGAUUGGGGUUCUUAGGGCCCUGUAGGAGUUUUCUUUAAAAUUUCUGUAAAACAGAUAGAAUCUAAAUGGUCAGGGAAAAAGAAGUUUGGGUUUGUGUGUGUAUAUAUAUAUAUAUAUAUAUAUAUAUAUAUAUAUAUCAAACAAAACCAAAACCCCAAGAAAACCACCACCAAAAAAUUACAUAUACUGUAUAUGUGUGUUAUUGAGAAUUUUUCUUUCCUUAUUAAAACUCUGUGUCUCUUUGUCUUUCAUUGUAGGAAUAGACCUUGAACAUGCUAAACUCGAGAUGACCCUAGGCUAUAAAUCCAUCCCAAAUUUCUGCUUUUAAUAUUCACACUCAGUAAUAGUUGAUAUGGAGUUAACUCUUAAAUGCUACCUUUUAAUAAAGGGCUGAUGAGAAUAAUUAAAUGCUUAGCCAGU